rnacentral:misc_RNA from 1 species
UUGGCGCGCAGCGCGGCGUUA